GUUGUUGACGUUGUCUAUAUUUCGAAAACCUACAGCUACAAACUUGACAAUAACCUUUGGAUAACACCAAAAUGUAAGUCUUCAAAACCAAGAGAAGAAACUGUAAAGCAGUAGUAAUGCAAAUGCUUAGACAUUCAAAUAUAAGUAGCAAACUAACCUAUGGGUUAUUUGGCUGAUUUUGAAGGGUUCAUGGUGUAUUUUGGUGCGUGUCUGUUAAGAAUCCGAGUUGUUGUCCCGUGGUAUUAGCUUCUCUGUCUUGCUGGUUGCGACUGGGCAGUUGUGAGGUCUAUAAUCAAGUGAUUCAAGGAAACCGUUAGCUUCAUUUUACU
rnacentral:lncRNA from 1 species